GGGUGUGCAAAGGGUUUACAAAAGGUGUACACUCAUUUUCCAUCUUUCUACAAAAUAUGUGGAAAGGUUGUAGAAUGGUGUACAAAGGGUGUAUAAAGGGUGUAGAAAGGGUAUAUAAAGGGUGUACAAAGGGUGUACAAAGGGGGUACAAAUGAUGUACACCCUUUAUACAAGGUGUACACAAAUUGCAAAAAGAAUAAAAUAAAGCAAAAUAAAAUUGAUCAGUGGCAAAAGAGCACAAAGAUGAAUGGAGGUUGAUUUAUGAGAUGAUUAUGCUAUUGGGGUUCGACUUCACCAAGUUCUCUCUAAUGUAUAUAAGAAUUCUUCAUUAUUCAUUAAUGCCAACGUCCCGCACUAAAUUACUUAAACUUGACCCCUCGGUAAAUAAGUCUGUCCCCAAU
rnacentral:lncRNA from 1 species